GACGAACGCUGGCGGCGCGCCUAAUGCAUGCAAGUUGAACGGUUUUCACGGUCUUCGGGCUGUGGGGAUAGUAGCGAACGGCUGAGUAACGCGUAAGGGACCUGACCCUGGGAGGGGGAUAACCCAUCGAAAGGCGGGCUAAUACCCCGUAAGCUGGCUUGCUGACAUGGUGAGUCAGGAAAGCCUCGGUGCGAAUCGGGGUGCCCGGGGAGGGUCUUGCGUCCUAUCAGGUAGUUGGCGGGGUAACGGCCCACCAAGCCUAAGACGGGUAACCGGUGUGAGAGCAUGAACGGUCAGAGGGGGACUGAGACACGGCCCCCACUCCUACGGGAGGCAGCAGCAGGGAAUUUUGCGCAAUGGGCGAAAGCCUGACGCAGCGACGCCGCGUGGGGGAAGAAGGCCUUAGGGUUGUAAACCCCUUUUCUGGGGGAAGAGCAAGGACGGUACCCCAGGAAUAAGCCCCGGCUAACUACGUGCCAGCAGCCGCGGUAAUACGUAGGGGGCGAGCGUUGUCCGGAAUUACUGGGCGUAAAGGGCGCGUAGGCGGCCCAAGAAGUCUCCGGUGAAAUCUCCCGGCUUAACUGGGAGGGGUCCGGGGAAACUCUUGAGCUUGAGGGCAGCAGAGGAGGGUGGAAUUCCCGGUGUAGUGGUGAAAUGCGUAGAUAUCGGGAGGAACACCAGUGGCGAAGGCGGCCCUCUGGGCUAUACCUGACGCUGAGGCGCGAAAGCGUGGGGAGCAAACCGGAUUAGAUACCCGGGUAGUCCACGCCCUAAACGAUGGAUGCUGGGUAUGAGGGGUAUCGACCCCCUGUGAGCCGUAGCUAACGCGAUAAGCAUUCCGCCUGGGGACUACGGCCGCAAGACUAAAACUCAAAGGAAUUGACGC
rnacentral:rRNA from 1 species